GAUGAAGAACGCAGCGAAAUGCGAUAAGUAAUGUGAAUUGCAGAAUUCAGUGAAUCAUCGAAUCUUUGAACGCACAUUGCGCCCGCCAGUAUUCUGGCGGGCAUGACUGUUCGAGCGUCAUUUCAACCCUCAAGCCCAGCUUGGUGUUGGUGAUCGGCACAGGCGCCCUCGGGCGCCCGCCGUCCCCUAAAUCUAGUGGCGGUCCCGCUGCAGCCUCCUCUGCGUAGUAGUUUUCUCCUCGCAAGGGCAGCUCGGUGGCGACCUCGCCGUAAAACCCCCAACUUCUGAAAGGUUGACCUCGAAUCAGGUAGGAAUACCCGCUGAACUUAAGCAUAUCAAUAAGCGGAGGA
rnacentral:misc_RNA from 1 species